AUUUCUGUAGUUGAAGGACAACGAUGAUUUUUCAUGUCAUAGGUCAUGGAUUGUAACCAUGUGGAAAUU
rnacentral:tRNA from 1 species